rnacentral:rRNA from 1 species
AUACGGAGGAUGCGAGCGUUAUCCGGAUUUAUUGGGUUUAAAGGGAGCGUAGGCGGGAGCUUAAGUCAGCGGUUAAAUGGUGCGGCUCAACCGUGCCCUGCCGUUGAAACUGGGUUUCUUGAGAGUGCAAGAGGCGGAUGGAAUUCAUGGGGUGGAGGUGAAAUGCUUAGAUAUCAUGAAGAACUCCGAUUGCGAAGGCAGUCCGCUGGGGCACGUCUGACGCUGAUGCUCGAAGGUGCGGGAAUCAAACAGGAUUAGAUACCCUGGUAGUCCGCACGGUAAACGAUGAUUACCCGCUGUCGGCGGUAGACAGUCGGCGGCCAAGCGAAAGCGAUAAGUAAUCCACCUGGGGAGUACGCCGGCAACGGUGAAACUCAAAGGAAUUGACGGGG